rnacentral:tRNA from 1 species
GGAGGUGUGGCCGAGCGGUCGAAGGCACUGGUCUUGAAAACCAGCAGGGGGCAACCCUUCGUGGGUUCGAAUCCCACCGCCUCCGCCA